rnacentral:tRNA from 1 species
GCGGGCGUGGUGGAACUGGUAGACACGCUUGGUUUAGGUCCAAGUGCCGAAAGGUUUGGGGGUUCGAGUCCCUUCGCCCGCA